AGAGUUUGAUCCUGGCUCAGAUUGAACGCUGGCGGCAUGCCUUACACAUGCAAGUCGAACGGCAGCACGGGUACUUGCACCUGGUGGCGAGUGGCGAACGGGUGAGUAAUAUAUCGGAACGUACCCUAGAGUGGGGGAUAACGUAGCGAAAGUUACGCUAAUACCGCAUACGAUCUACGGAUGAAAGUGGGGGAUCGCAAGACCUCAUGCUCAUGGAGCGGCCGAUAUCUGAUUAGCUAGUUGGUGGGGUAAAAGCCUACCAAGGCGACGAUCAGUAGCUGGUCUGAGAGGACGACCAGCCACACUGGAACUGAGACACGGUCCAGACUCCUACGGGAGGCAGCAGUGGGGAAUUUUGGACAAUGGGGGCAACCCUGAUCCAGCAAUGCCGCGUGAGUGAAGAAGGCCUUCGGGUUGUAAAGCUCUUUUGUCAGGGAAGAAACGGGAUUUUCUAAUACAAAGUCCUAAUGACGGUACCUGAAGAAUAAGCACCGGCUAACUACGUGCCAGCAGCCGCGGUAAUACGUAGGGUGCAAGCGUUAAUCGGAAUUACUGGGCGUAAAGCGUGCGCAGGCGGUUGUGCAAGACAGAUGUGAAAUCCCCGGGCUCAACCUGGGAAUUGCAUUUGUGACUGCACGGCUAGAGUGUGUCAGAGGGGGGUAGAAUUCCACGUGUAGCAGUGAAAUGCGUAGAGAUGUGGAGGAAUACCGAUGGCGAAGGCAGCCCCCUGGGAUAACACUGACGCUCAUGCACGAAAGCGUGGGGAGCAAACAGGAUUAGAUACCCUGGUAGUCCACGCCCUAAACGAUGUCUACUAGUUGUCGGGUCUUAAUUGACUUGGUAACGCAGCUAACGCGUGAAGUAGACCGCCUGGGGAGUACGGUCGCAAGAUUAAAACUCAAAGGAAUUGACGGGGACCCGCACAAGCGGUGGAUGAUGUGGAUUAAUUCGAUGCAACGCGAAAAACCUUACCUACCCUUGACAUGUACGGAACUUACCAGAGAUGGUUUGGUGCUCGAAAGAGAACCGUAACACAGGUGCUGCAUGGCUGUCGUCAGCUCGUGUCGUGAGAUGUUGGGUUAAGUCCCGCAACGAGCGCAACCCUUGUCAUUAGUUGCUACGAAAGGGCACUCUAAUGAGACUGCCGGUGACAAACCGGAGGAAGGUGGGGAUGACGUCAAGUCCUCAUGGCCCUUAUGGGUAGGGCUUCACACGUCAUACAAUGGUACAUACAGAGGGCCGCCAACCCGCGAGGGGGAGCUAAUCCCAGAAAGUGUAUCGUAGUCCGGAUUGUAGUCUGCAACUCGACUACAUGAAGUUGGAAUCGCUAGUAAUCGCGGAUCAGCAUGUCGCGGUGAAUACGUUCCCGGGUCUUGUACACACCGCCCGUCACACCAUGGGAGCGGGUUUCACCAGAAGUAGGUAGCCUAACCGCAAGGAGGGCGCUUACCACGGUGGGAUUCGUGACUGGGGUGAAGUCGUAACAAGGUA
rnacentral:rRNA from 1 species